AAUAAAUCUAAACGAAACGACAGCGAUGCACCUGAAGUUAAAGCUUAGAUAUUACUUGAUACGUGGAACUUACAAAUUGGCCAGAGAUCAUGUUGAUGCAGCUCUGCCAACUCGCGCGGACUCGUGAAAAAGAAAAGUAUUUGGCGAAGUCGCCGACUUGAAAGUAAAGUUGCGUGGAAAAGUAGAUUUGUAUUGAUGUUUGUUGUGUUGUUUUACAAGCCUUAUGAGGCACCUAUUUAUACCCUCUUACAACUGAUUUCCUAACCGACUAUGAUUUUAUCUCUAAUUUAAAAAUAACAAAUAUUUACACACGGGUACAACAUGCAUCGGAGUCGAUUACUAUUUUUCCAUGGGAUAGUCUUCAUCUUCAUCUAGCCACCGUCUUGGUCCAUUUUAGGCC
rnacentral:lncRNA from 1 species